ACGAGAACAUUUUUACCUUCUAUGUUGAUUUUCACAAUUCAAUUUUCGGACGAUUUCUUCUAUGCUAUUUAUAUGAUUUAUAUGAUUUGAACCAACUCUGGACACUCAUUACCGGAGCCUAGGGAAAACCGUCUAUACGACUAGAAACCGUGAUCUGUUUAUAUGUGAUGUAUGAUCGUAUCCAGGACAUUAUUCUUGAAUUACAUUAAUAUCUUGAUUGAUUACAUCAGUAACAAAAAACGAAGGAACAAAUAUAUUAUUUAAGUUUUAAGUAUAUACGGGAACAAAUUUUGUACUUGAAACGAUAUUAAAACACACAGUUGAAGGUUCUUAGUAAACAAUAUUGUCCAAUAUUUCAUAACCUAUAAUGAAUAUCUUGUAUGAAUUGCUUUAAGGAUUAUAAAAAGCUCAAAUAAAACGAAAUGACUACAAAAAUGGGGAAGAAACAAAUUAUACAGGCUGUAGUUCUUGCAGAUGAUUUUAUAACGAGCUUGACACCUGUACAAGAUAUAUUCCCAACUAUAUUAAUGCCUGUAAUAAAUAUUCCAGUGUUAGAUUAUUUGGUGGAAACACUGAUUAAAUCCAGAGUGCAAGAAUUAUUCCUUUAUUGUAGUAACCAUGUAGACUUGAUAAGAGCAUACAUCAAACAGAAAAAAUGGUUUAAAAUAUCAGUUUCUUUAAUUGUAUCAGAUACUUGUACUUCUCUUGGAGAUGCUCUUAGAGAUAUUGAUACAAAAGGUUCAAUUCGUGGUAAUUUUAUUCUUAUAAGAGGAGAUGCAUUUAUUAAUGCUGAUCUUACCAAUCUUUUAAUCAAUCAUUGUGCAAAACUGAAAGAAGAUAAAGGUGCAUCCAUGACCAUGGUACUAAGAAAUAUUGGAUCUAUGAAUGAAUCUUUCCUGAAGCAUGAAUCAUGUUUGGUAGUUUCUGACAAAAGUAGCAAAAAGAUUCUACAUUAUAAUAUAAUACGGAAAGAUUUGAAGAAAGUGAAGUUAGAAUUAAAUUGGUUUUUGGAUCAUAGUGAGAUUGAAAUUAACACUUGUUUUAUGGAUACUCAUGUUUAUUUAUGUUCUCCUUCUGUGUUACCAUUAUUCUCUGACAAUUUUGAUUUCCAAACAAUGGAAGAUUUCAUUCGAGGAGUGUUGAUGAAUGAAGAAAUUUUAAAUUCUCGAAUUUAUUGGCAACAAUUAAAUCCUCAGGAUUAUAGUCUGCCAAUUGUAUCAUGGAAUGCAUAUCAUACUCUUAACCGAGACAUUCUGAACAGACAUAGUUUCCCACUUACACCAAAUGCUAUUCCACUUUUAAAAGAUUUUAUUUAUAUGCCAAGAAGCACGUAUAAACAUAAAAAUGCCACUCUUGCUAAAGGUUGUGUAUUAGAGAAAGAUAGCAUAUUGUGCCAAAAUAGUAUUCUUGGGAAUAAUACGUCUGUUACAAGAUCAAUUAUUGGAAAUCACUGUUUGGUAGGGUCUAAUGUAACAAUUAAGAAUUCUUAUAUUUUAUCAGAUAGUAAAAUUGAAGAUAAUUGUACUAUUGUAAAUAGUAUAGUAUUUCCAAAUUGUUUUAUUAAAGAAAACACACAAAUAAGUGGAUGUAUAUUAUGUCCUAAAACAAUUAUUCGUACUUCAAAGGAGUAUAUUGAUUCUAUCAUAGAAUCAGAAAAUGACAAAAUUUCUAUAAAAACAAUAUCAGAAAUUGACCCAUGUAAUGAAUUUCAACUCUUUAAGAAUUAUGAUACACUAGAAAAUGAUAAUUAUGUGCCUAUAAAUACAGAUACAUCAAGUAUUGAUGAAGAUUCUGAAUGUAAUUUUAUUGCAGAUGACACAAGCUUGUUCUUAUCUGAGGUUAUUGAUAGCUUAUUAAGAGGUUUUCAAGAUCAACUUAAUUGUGAAAACUUAAUUUUAGAAAUAAAUUCUUCAAGAUAUGCAUACAAUGUCACUAUGAACAAAGUAACAUAUAAUGUUAUUAAAGCCAUAUUAAGUUUACCUUUCCAUUACCUUUCAGAAGAAAAGGAAAUUCUAACUAACCUAGAUUACCAUAAAAAUUUAAAACGUGUGGUAACAUAUUUUUAUCCAAUUAUCUUGAAUUAUGUUAAAACAGAAGAUGCACAAGAUGACUGUUUACAUGCAAUAGAAGAGGUUGCAAGUACAACUCCAGAACUGUUACCAUUUUUGCAACUUUUAUUGCAUAUGCUUUAUGAUAGAGAUGUAUUAUCAGAAGAAAAAAUUUUAGAAUGGUAUGAAUCUAAAGAUAAAGAUAUAGAUUCACAUGAGAAGAAUAAAGUGAGAGCAGCAGUACAACCAUUCAUUAAAUGGUUAGAAGAAGCUGAAGAAGAUUCUAGUGACAGUGAAAAUGAUUAAUCACAUAUUAAUCUCUUCAACAAUUUUGGAAAGGCAAAAUAGUAUCAAUUAAGUUAUGCCAAGCUCGAUGACGGUGGUCUGGAAAUUUGAUUACGUCUAUCCAAUGUCGUAAUCGUGCUCCUUUGCUAUUACAACUUAGUUCAAGUCCACCUAAAUAAAAAUAAGGAAGAUAUUGCUAUAAUAUAUAUACAUAAACUUCUUCAAUACAACACACAGCAAUAUAAUUAUUAAAUUUGAGAAAGUUAAUGCAUUACCAAGGAAGAAGAUUUGUAGCUCGAUGAAUUGUGACCGUCAAUGCUCGCCGUCUUGUACAGUAACUUAGACUCACUUGAAUCUGUCCUCGUCCACUGGAAAUCACGCCCCAAGCUGCUUCUUCGUUGUCCACCUAUGCCAACGUCGAGCUCUUAUAUCUUAGUGUCUGCAAUAAUGUAAGUAAAGUCGGCCGUCGCGAAAAAUUUUAAACGCGGGAAAUGAUUAUGUUUAUAAAGAUUAGUAAUUAAAGAUCAGUAAAAUUCUUGAACGAUAGUGAAACGUUAAAUGCACAAGGGGAAAUAAUGAACGAUAUGCAGAUUUGAUAGUAAAAAUUAAGAAAACAUUCGCGUCCAAAAGGUUAAAAAAUUCGAUUUUUGGACUUUCGCAUUUAUAUUUUCUUUUUCAAGAUAUAAAGAUAAAAUUUAUAACGUUGCUAGAGUUAUGUGUCACUGCUCACUAUUUUAUAAUUAUUUAAAAUAUGAAUACAUAUAUGUAUAUAGAAACGAAUGAAUCUUGACUCUUUAAUAACUGUUUGUUUUUCUUUUUAUACACGUAUUUAUUAUGUACAUAUUUAUAUAUGCCAAAAAUCGACUCGAAAAACUAUCUUUUAGACUAAAACAUUCCUCGAAAUAGAACAGCAUAAUUAAAAUAAUAUAAUAAUAUGCUUAUAUCAUUUGUAAUCGUUAUUACUUAAUAUUAAAAAGAAAUAAAAUGAUUAGAGUUCUAAUUAUA